rnacentral:misc_RNA from 1 species
GGGACUACUCGGGUAUCUAAUCCUGUUUGCUACCCACACUUUCGCAUCUCAGCGUCAAUACUUGUCCAGUAAGCUGCCUUCGCCAUUGGUGUUCCUUCAUAUAUCUACGCAUUCCACCGCUACACAUGAAAUUCCACUUACCUCUCCAAGAUUCUAGCCCUCCAGUAUCCAAUGCAAUUCAGUGGUUGAGCCACUGGCUUUCACAUCAGACUUAAAAAGCCGCCUACAUGCGCUUUACGCCCAAUAAUUCCGGAUAACGCUUGCCACCUACGUAUUACCGCGGCGGCUGGCAC